GGGGAAUUUCAGGGUAAAUUACAAUGAUUAGAAUUCCUCUUUUGGCAACUUUCUGCAACAUUUACCCAAGAAUUUUUUUGCAGCAUUUUGUUGACAAAACAUCCAUAAUUUUAUAUUUUAUAGUCCUUUAUGUGAGGAUUUCUGCGUUUUCGGUAAAAUCAGAUGUAAAAAAUGACAAAAAUCGGGAAAAAUCAUGCCGAUUUUUGUGUUAGGGGGACCCC
rnacentral:lncRNA from 1 species